rnacentral:lncRNA from 1 species
ACUGCAUAGAGGAACACCCAUACACAGGGCCGGAUGCACCAAGGGAGAAGAGGGGUCAAUUGACUCCUUGGGAUGCCAGCGUUUGGCUAUGGAGGUCUCAGGUGAGCAGCCCUUGACCAGCAGCUUGUUGACCCCUUAGGUGCAUUGAAUGUGCUUGACGAAAGUCCCCAAAGAGAGAAAGCGAGGUGGGUUGGUGAGUUACAACGACGGUCAUGUAACACCCCGACUCCAAAUUUAAUUCCUAUUUUAAAUUAUUUAAGUGAAUUAACGAAUUUACCCUUAGGGCAGGGGUAAAUUGGUCAUUUUCUUGCCCAGAAAGUAUUUGGGGCAGUGACUGGUAUUUUUGGGUAAGUAGUAUUGAGACGAAUUCGUAGACACGCGGUAGGCUUGAAUCAGAGUUGUAACGAAGAAGUUACAAUCAAAACAUUAUCAAUGGCAAACUUGUAAAUAUUUCGAAAAGUUUGGUAAAAAUCAGAUUUUUCACCUCAGCUCUCUCUCUCCUCGCGCACGCUCGACACUCUCUCUCUCCUCAGUCUCUCUCUCUCCUCGACGCCGACUCUCUCUCUCUCCUUGCUCGCGUGUUAACCCGAUGAGAUCCUUAAGUUGUCACGAGCGCAUAGGAAUUCGCGGAUCUCAAUUCGGAUGUCGUUUGACUAUCGAACAGAUUUUCGCAUAUUGUGUGUUAUCCGGGUUCGAUAGGUUCUGACCUUUGAAUCGUUUCCCAAUCAAUAUAUGUUGUUCUAGGUAUUCCUAAGAUCGUAUAGGAAUUCGCGGAUUAUGAAUCGGAGCCCCGGAUGUUCUGAUUCAAUAACUUAAAGUUUGCGUGUUUUGUAAUAACCGACCGAUCGUGCGAUCGUAAGCGAUCUAACCAUCCGUUUCGGACCAAACUUGCGAGACGAGUAUCUUAAACCUUGUGGAACCUCUAGAAACUUUCAGAUUGUAAAACGGAGGUCGUGGGUCCCGUGGGGCCGGUUGACCCGAAUUGGGAAGUUUGACCGUCAGUUGACCGAGUGUCUCUCGAAGCUGUUCCAUCGUCCAAAUUGGGUAGUUGGACCUUAGAACGUCUUAUUCCUAGUACACUUACUGGAAACCUGGGAAAUUAGGAUAUUUAAUUCAAAGUACUCGUUCGAAACGCUUUGUAUUAAUCUCGUAUAUGUAUUCUGAAAUAGGUACUCCGACCAUGCAUACGCAGCAGGCGGGACCCUCUAAGGGUCAAGCAGCGUGGGACUACUUGUGAGUGGAGUUUGUUUUCAAAUCUUAUGCAUGGUUUUAUGGAUGAAAGAUUUAUGCUUAACGUUUUUAAUGAUUUAUUGAAUAUAUUAUUUUUGUCCACUCACAAUUUUCUGUUUUGCGCCCCAGCCAGUAGUUGACUGAGCUCUGCAGCAGAGCCGGAUCGUGCGCUUCCGAGCCUUGAACCUUCGUAGGACUCUUUCUUCAUGUUAUUUCCUUUGAACUCUGUUUUGUUGAAAUUGAAGUUCUUAGACAUGCUCUAUUAUCGCCCUGUUAUGGUUGGAUUUGUGAGGCCGGAGGCCAGUUUGUUGUAAAUUGUUUAUUCCCUUUAAAGUAUGCUGCUGGUUGUGAUUAUUUUGUAUUUUUAUGCAGGUUGAAUUUUGUUGGGUUUGUUCAAUUUACAGGAGGGACUCUACCAAAAUUUUGGUAAAGAGUCUCGGUUUUUAGUAAAUGGGCCCGGCAUCAGAGUGAUGUCGGAACAAAGACAGGAUCCGCUCCGGUUUCCGGGGAAAUUCCGGGGCGGGUCCUGUCAGGUCAUGGGUGGGUGAGUUUUAAUUUUGGACAGAGAUAGAGAAAAGGAAAGGUAAUAGGUGAGUUACAACGAUGGUCA